GGGGGCGUGGCGCAAUUGGUUAGCGCACCAGACUGUCGAUCUGGUGGUUGCGAGUUCGAGUCUCGUCGCUCCCGCCA
rnacentral:tRNA from 1 species